rnacentral:rRNA from 1 species
UGCCAGCAGCCGCGGUAAUACGGAGGGGGUUAGCGUUGUUCGGAAUUACUGGGCGUAAAGCGCACGUAGGCGGAUUAGUAAGUUAGGGGUGAAAUCCCGGGGCUCAACCCCGGAACUGCCUCUAAUACUGCCAGUCUAGAGUUCGGGAGAGGUGAGUGGAAUUCCUAGUGUAGAGGUGAAAUUCAUAGAUAUUAGGAAGAACACCAGUGGCGAAGGCGACUCACUGGCACAUUUCUGACGCUGAGGCGCGAAAGCGUGGGGAGCAAACAGGAUUAGAUA